rnacentral:tRNA from 1 species
GGGGACGUAGCUCAGUUGGCUAGAGCACCUGCUUUGCAAGCAGGGGGUCGUGGGUUCGAAUCCCAUCGUCUCCA